rnacentral:rRNA from 1 species
AAUGCUUGGGAACUUGCCUUUGCGAGGGGGAUAACAGUUGGAAACGACUGCUAAUACCGCAUAAUGUCUUCGGACCAAACGGGGCUUCGGCUCCGGCGCAAAGAGAGGCCCAAGUGAGAUUAGCUAGUUGGUAAGGUAACGGCUUACCAAGGCGACGAUCUCUAGCUGUUCUGAGAGGAAGAUCAGCCACACUGGGACUGAGACACGGCCCAGACUCCUACGGGAGGCAGCAGUGGGGAAUAUUGCACAAUGGGGGAAACCCUGAUGCAGCCAUGCCGCGUGUGUGAAGAAGGCCUUCGGGUUGUAAAGCACUUUCAGUUGUGAGGAAAAGUUAGUAGUUAAUACCUGCUAGCCGUGACGUUAACAACAGAAGAAGCACCGGCUAACUCCGUGCCAGCAGCCGCGGUAAUACGGAGGGUGCGAGCGUUAAUCGGAAUUACUGGGCGUAAAGCGCACGCAGGCGGUUUGUUAAGCUAGAUGUGAAAGCCCCGGGCUCAACCUGGGAUGGUCAUUUAGAACUGGCAGACUAGAGUCUUGGAGAGGGGAGUGGAAUUCCAGGUGUAGCGGUGAAAUGCGUAGAUAUCUGGAGGAACAUCAGUGGCGAAGGCGACUCCCUGGCCAAAGACUGACGCUCAUGUGCGAAAGUGUGGGUAGCGAACAGGAUUAGAUACCCUGGUAGUCCACACCGUAAACGCUGUCUACUAGCUGUGUGUGUCUUUAAGACGUGCGUAGCGAAGCUAACGC